GGGGUUGUGGCUCAGUGGUAGAGCACUCACCUAGCAUGUGUGAGGCCCUGGGUUCAAUCCUCAGUAUCACA
rnacentral:tRNA from 1 species